rnacentral:tRNA from 1 species
CAGCCGCAUGGGUCCGGCGAUACAGGAUCUAUGGCUGCUGCUGCCGGCCGGACGCGCGGACGCAUCGCGCGCGCUGGC